UUCACAACCAGGGAGAAACGCUGGGAGGAAAUCAUCAGCCUGUAAUUCCCUAAAACACCACAAGGUGGCACUGGAAUCUGUACUAAGGCGCUAAAGCGGCUUAAAUCCGCUGCGCUGUCUGCUGCCUUGCAGGUAAGAGUGAAUAGAGUAUUACACGUAGAUGAAAUCUUUAAAAAGCUUUGCUGCUAGAAUAAAUCAGGAAACUAGUUGUUGGUUUUUUUUUUUUUUUUGAGAUUUCACAGCAUAAAGUAACAGAAGUGCUGUCAGCAAACUUGCUAAUUUACUGUAAAUAUAUGAAAAAGGAUCUAGAAAAGGGCAAACCUAAUGGCUCACGUGGAGACAGCAUGACUGGGGCUGGUGACCUCGGGACAUGGCUGUGAGCCUCUCUCGUAUGGCAGCUUGACUCAUAUUUAUUGUCUCCUCUCCAUUCCUGCUGAUGUCGUUCAGGCCUCUAUUCUAUAAUGACAUCACCCCAACAAACCUCCCACCCUCUCCAGCCUACACUACCCCAUAUUUCCUGAUUACCCCUGGAGAAAAAAGAAGAGACAGAAAGAGGAGAAAUCCUGAAAAGAUACUGAAACUCCUGAAAAUUGAAGUCAAAAUCAUCAUCAUAAGCCAGUAAUCUCAAUUCCUCCCCUUUGCGAAAAUGACGGAGCCUGAUGCCCCUGCCCGCCAGGAGGUGAAGAGUCAAUCAAAGCUCCUGGCAAAAAGACUCCAGUAUGUUAGUGGCCUGUAAAUGGAAACUCUUAAAAGGACAAGUCAUUCCCACUUUUUAAGAUAAGAAAACCAAGUGGAAGGAUGGAAUUAUGUGAAUUGUCCAUGGUCCUACAGCUAGUAAAUGAUGUCGUGGCAAUUUUCAUCAUGGUCUAAAUAACUCAAAGGGCUCAAUCUUUCCACUUCAUCCAUCUGCCAUCUGUCUACAAUUCUUUAUGGCUCAUAAAGAAUAUGAUCGAAUAUGAUUGAAAUAUGUUUGCUUAAGAAGAAAAGAACUAUAAAUGGAAGUAGCCAUUAUUAAAUACUUAAAAUAUUUUUUUUCUUAUCCAAUAUGUAUUUUUAUAUUAGGUAUUAUUGCUCUUUGGUUUAAGUAGGGAAGCUAUAAGCAGAGAAAAGGAGAAAAAAUUGAAAAUGAAUAAUGGAAAAAAAAACAAAUGUAGAUGAAAGGUAGAGAAAUGCCAAAGACACUAGAUAACUAAAGGUAGAAAUUGUAAAAGAGAAAAUAAAGUGUCCAAUAUGAAAUAAACAAAAGAAGUAGGUCAGGAAGAAAAAUAUCCUGGAUAUUAGCCUUGUCCGGAAUUCUACUCCUAUAGACUUCAAGAUUUAAAAAACCAUCAGAUGUCUUCCCACAAUGAUAAAUAAUGGCUUUAAAACAUGACAACAAGAAAAAGAUUGGUAAUAAUAAACAUGAGAUUUUCCAAACAUAGUUUUCUAAGAGCAUUAUUCUGUAAGUGGCAGCUCACAGACUCAGAUGUUCCACAUACCUCUUCUAGGCAUUCCAGAGUGCAGUGACCC